ACACAUGAGAGUUUGAUCCUGGCUCAGAACGAACGCUGGCGGCGUGCCUAACACAUGCAAGUCGGACGGAUCCUGAAAAAGUAGCAAUAC
rnacentral:rRNA from 1 species